UACAACAAAAAGCGAACACAACCACACAAGCGACAAACAGAAAGCGACAAAAAACACUGCCAAGGUGAGUUUUGAACGACGGUUUGUAUUGAGAAUAUCACAGUUAUUUUUCUUUUAUUGUUGUGCUUUUAUAAUGCUCGUUUCUUCCUGUUUUUUUUUUUUCCAAAACCAAUCGCUCAUGCUAAAACACCGUACCAGUUCGUUCGACGUCAAGAUGUCAUAUCAAAGUCAUCUGUCCUUGUUUUGAUUGGCUAAUACCAUCUACUUGGAUUCCGAUUGGCUUAUAAUUUUGGCGUGCACUUAAGUAGUUUUCAUUCCACUGGCAAUUGCCAUGAAAAUGAUAAAUUCGUAAAUACUUACGAGUUCCAUGAAUUCAGGCAUAUAUUCCUCACGGUAAAACCAACCAAGGACUGCCCGAGGGCCAUGAUUGAUGCAGAAAGCUGGAAGGCAUGAGAAUAGGCAAAUGUCUUUAAAGAUAAUAAAGUAGGGGAUUUCUCACUUUGAUACAGCCGUAUAAGUGUAAUAGUCUUUUUUACAGCAAGAUACUUUGUCUCAAUGAUAAAUCUGUAAAGAAAACAUUUUUAUACCAACCUAAA